CUCAUCAGUUAACUAUGCAAGCCAAAAUAAAACAUGUUAUUUCAUACAGGACAACAAAUAAACAUGGUUUUUUACAUGUCUUUUUAUAUAGAACACAAAAAGCACAAACUACAAGAGUAUAAUUGAUAAACAGGACUUCUUCAAAAUUAAAAUUUCCUAUUUGAAAGACACCAUUUUAAAAAAUUAAAAUAGGGCCAGGUGCGAUGGCUCACACCUGUAAUCCCAGCACAGAGGUCAGGAGUUUGAGACUAGCCUGGCCAACAUGGUGAAACCCCAUCUCUACUAAAAAUACACACACACACAAAAUUAGCCAGGCAUGGUGACAUGCACCUGUAAUCCCAGCUAUUCGGGAGGCUGAGACAGGAGGACUGCAUGAACCCAGGAGGCAGAGGUUGCAGUGAGCCAAGAUCGCACCAUUGCACUCCAGCCUGGGUGACAGAGCGAGACUCGGUCUCAAAAAUAAAAUAUAAAAUAAAAUAAAAUAAAAAUAGGAGCCACAUACUGUAAUACCCAACCCUAAUAAAAGACUUGUAUCCAGAACAUCUAAAGAAGGCUUAAAACGCAACAAGACAAACAAUGCAAUAAUACAACAAAAACAGAUGAGAGACUUGAGCUGGUAUUUCACCAACACAGAUACAUAAGUGAAGUGUGCAGCAUCAGUCCUCGGGCAACACAAAUUAAAGACACCAUGAGUUACCACUACACAACCAACAGAAUGAAGAUAAAAACACUGAAAAUAACCAUUGUAAGGGAGGAUGAUAGGAAUAUAAAAUGUUACAACAACUAUGGAAAACAGUUUGUGAGAUUUGUUUAAAAGUUAAAUGUAGACUUAACAUAUUAACCAGAACUUCCACUCCAAGAAACUGACCCAGUGAAACAAGCCCACACAGACUUGUAUACAUGAAGGUUCCUAGCAACUUUAUCUGCAAUAGCCAAAGGACCAUCAAUAAACAGCCAAAGGGGAAUCAAUAGGUGAGUGGGUAAAUAGCCAAACAACCAUCAACAGGUGAAUGGAUAAACAGCCAAAUGACCCUCAAUAGGUGAAUGGCUAAGCCACCACAGUGUGGAUGAACCUCAAGACUGUGGCAGUGUGGGGCCAGGUCCCAGCAGCCGUUGUCAGGGCAGCCUAGGAGGCUGUCAGCACCACUGCUACCAGAACAGCUCUCAGAAAGAAAAGACCAGAGUAACAGUGUUUGCCUUUAGGCUGAGCUACUUGGUGUCUGUGCUGCUCACGUUCACAGCCACAGGACCCAUCCCAAUACCCAUAGAGGCAACAUGAAGGUUGGACCCAGAGACUGCUGUGGGCCCUGCCCUGGGCUCUCCACUCAGGGAGUAUCACAGCACCUCACUCCUGGCCAUAAAGGUAAUACUUUCUCUUUUUUUUUUUUGAGACAGAGUCUUGCUCUGUCGCCCAGGCUGGGGUGCAGUGACGCGACGUCAGCUCACUGCAACCUCUGCUUCCUGAGUAGCUGGGAUUACAGGCAUUCACCACCACACCCAGCUAAUUUUGUAUUUUUGGUAGAGACGGGGUUUCACCAUGUUGUCUAGGCUGGUCUUGAACUCCUGACCUCAAGUGAUCUAUCUGCCUGCCUCAGCCUCCCAAAGUGC
rnacentral:lncRNA from 1 species